AGCUUGUGGUGGAGACCUCCGGCGCUGGCGCCGGUAACGAUGCUGGUUCCGAGGUUUACGACAUCGUCAUCGACUUGGAUACGUCUGGGGAGGGCUUCACCUCCAAGUCUGGCAACGGGGAGGACCGCAUCA
rnacentral:SRP_RNA from 13 species